rnacentral:lncRNA from 1 species
AGUGGCUAUCCUGCUGCUGGCUGCAUCACUGCUUGUUCAGCGGGCUACUCCGCGGGGCUCGCGUCCAGUUACUAUGUGCCCAGAUGUAAAGGCAGCAGUCGCUUGAAAGUCACCCAUCUGCAGUGGCAGUGUGUCUUUCCUGAUUCCAGGUGCUAAGAACGCUCAAGCCAUGGAGAGAGAUGCAUUUGGAGUUGUUUACAUUCAGACAAAGCUCAUCUGGUUGUUUGCAGCUAGUCACAAGGCCCUGGAACCAAUUU